rnacentral:lncRNA from 1 species
AGGCGUCAUUGGCAUAUGGGGACUCGUGCUGGGGCUGCUGUUCUGGGGAUCUGCUAUAGCUUCUUCUGGCAUCAGGAGGUGGUGGCGGCGACCUGCUCACAUCUCGAGCUCCCGGUGGUGACCUGCUGUUAUUUCUGGGAGGUGGUGGCGGCGGCGAUCUGCUCAUUUCUCGGGCUUCCCGUGGUGAACUGCGGUUAUUUUUGGCAGGUGGUGGUGGCGAUCUGCUCAUUUCUCGGGCUUCCCGUGGUGAACUGCUGUUAUUUUUGGGAGGUGGUGGUGACGAUCUGCUCAUUUCUCGGGCUCCCCGUGGUGACAUGCUGUUAUUUCUAGGAGGCGGUGGUGGCAGUGGCGGCGACCUGCUGUAACUUCGCCUCCUAGGAGAACGAUCUCGUGGGC